rnacentral:rRNA from 1 species
CAGUCGCCGCGGGAAUACGAACCGUGCGAACGUUAUUCGGAAUCACUGGGCUUAAAGCGCGUGUAGGCGGGAGGGCACGUCCGUCGCUGAAAUCCCCCGGCUCAACCGGGGAACGGGCGCGGAUACGACUCUUCUGGAGGAACGUAGGGGGACCUGGAACUUCCGGUGGAGCGGUGAAAUGCGUUGAGAUCGGAAAGAACACCAACGGCGAAAGCACUCUGCUGGGCCGACACUGACACUGAGAGACGAAAGCUAGGGGAGCAAAUGGGAUUAGAUACCCGUGUAGUCCCUGUCUCUUAUU